AAUAAGUGCAGUUUUGCGCUAUUCAUGUUCAACGUUUGAUCGUUCGUCUUAUUUAAAAAUUUUUAUGAUUUGUAUUUGUAUUGUUAUUAGAUGAUAAAACAUGAAUAGUAUUUUAUAUGUGACUAAAUUAUUUUAAUUUUUUCAUAAAUUUUUUAAAUAAGAUGGAUGAUUAAACAUUGGAUACGGAAACCUACGACUGUAUUUAUU
rfam:Oryza glumipatula chromosome 1, whole genome shotgun sequence.